rnacentral:rRNA from 1 species
AGCAGCCGCGGUAAUUCCAGCUCCAAUAGCGUAUAUUAAAGUUGUUGCAGUUAAAAAGCUCGUAGUUGAAUUUCGGGGUUAGUAGAUUGGUCGUGCCACGGGUAUGUACUGGUCUUACUGAUUCCUCCUUCCUGAUGAACCGUAAUGCCAUUAAUUUGGUGUUGCGGGGAGACUGGACUGUUACUUUGAAAGAAUUAGAGUGUUUAAAGCAAGCCUACGCUUGAAUACAUUAGCAUGGAAUAAUGAAAUAGGACGUUCGAUCCUAUUUUGUUGGUUUCUAGGAUUGACGUAAUGAUUAAUAGGGAUAGUUGGGGGCAUUAGUAUUCAAUUGUCAGAGGUGAAAUUCUUGGAUUUAUUGAAGACUAACUACUGCGAAAGCAUUUGCCAAGGAUGUUUUCAUUAAUCAAGAACGAAAGUUAGGGGAUCGAAGACGAUCAGAUACCGUCGUAG